rnacentral:rRNA from 1 species
AUUGAACGCUGGCGGCAGGCUUAACACAUGCAAGUCGAACGAGUGGCGGACGGGUGAGUAAUGCUUGGGCAUCUGGCUUAUGUAGGGGGAUAACGACGGGAAACUGUCGCUAAUACCGCGUAACAUAGGAUGAGCCCAAGUGGGAUUAGGUAGUUGGUGGGGUAAUGGCCUACCAAGCCGACGAUCUCUAGCUGGUCUGAGAGGAUGACCGGCCACACCGGGACGCAGAGACGGCCCGGACUCCUACGGGAGGCAGCAGUGGGGAAUAUUGCGCAAUGGGGGAAAGCCUGACGCAGCCAUGCCGCGGGAAUGAAGAAGGCCUUCGGGUUGUAAAGGACUGUUGUUAGGGAAGCGGUACCUAAAGAAUAAGCACCGGCUAACUACGUGCCAGCAGCCGCGGUAAUUC